GGCUGAAUUGGAAAUACUGCAAUUUGGGAUAUAACUAAUAAUAGUUAUAUAUAGGGGUAAUGGUCCCCAAGGCAAACACAACAAGACUAUUCAGUUUCAAAACCCUAAAGGAGAAAAUUCUCUGGUUCUCUCUAUCCCCAUCAAGAGAGCAAGGUCUUCAAGGUGUUUUGCUGAGGAAGAUCACCCAACCCAUUGGCUCUAUCAUCAUCAUCCCAGGAUUUCAUUAAUGGCAAUUCCCACAGGUACGCUUCCGCCUUUGGCUAUUCAUCAUGUAAUUGACAUGGAUUGUUGAGCACAACGUUAUUAGGGUUUUUCCAACAAUCUUCACUCAAUAUUCCAUUCCAUUGCCUUUUAGACAUUGUGAUUGAUUGGAAAAUUCCAUCACAAAUUGUGUAUGAAAUACAACCAUCAAAUCCCA
rnacentral:lncRNA from 1 species